AUACUACGUUUUGUUUGGGGUCCACUCCUUUUUCAACAUUUUUUUUUAAUCCAACCUUGUUUCUCCCUUUUAAUUUAAUAUCUAUUUGUUCAAAUGGGUGAAGUCUUUUAUUGUUUUAUUUUCUUGAUUUUCAUAAUUUUCUUUUUUAUCUUGCUUCUUUUCUAUUUUUCAUAAUUUUUUAUUUUUUAUUUUUCUUACCAUAGAAUGCAUGGG
rnacentral:lncRNA from 1 species